rnacentral:rRNA from 1 species
UACGAAGGGGGCUAGCGUUGUUCGGAAUCACUGGGCGUAAAGCGUGCGUAGGUGGUUUGUUAAGUCUGAUGUGAAAGCCCUGGGCUCAACCUGGGAAUUGCAUUGGAUACUGGCAGGCUAGAGUGCGGUAGAGGAUGGCGGAAUUCCCGGUGUAGCAGUGAAAUGCGUAGAGAUCGGGAGGAACAUCUGUGGCGAAGGCGGCCAUCUGGACCAGCACUGACACUGAGGCACGAAAGCGUGGGGAGCAAACAGG